rnacentral:lncRNA from 1 species
AUUUUCUUUGCACUGACUUUAGGGAGCCAGCCGCUUCCCGUGUUAGCACUCGGGUGCCAGGUGGCCAAAAACACGGGGCAAAGGUUUUCCUAGUUAAGUCGUGGUAUCCACAGCUGUAGCUCUGAGGAAGGAACAGGGCCAUUUGCGGCACUUCGUGCUGUGUGAAGGCAAGAUUUGCCCUCCAACUCUCGAACUCCCUUCUAUCCUGGGGGUGAGGGCGGGGAGCCUGCUCUUUCUCUCUCCCAAGCUUUAGUAGGAGAGGGAGAAGAGUGUGGGGCCCAGGCCUGGCCCAAGACCCGCUGAGGCAGGGCUGGUGAGGGUCUUGGUAACAGUCGCCGCAGGGUAAUUCGCAGCCUGUACUACAAGGACCCUGAGCAUUCCCCGGGCGGUACCUGAGCAGAUUAGGCCGAACAAACAACUUUCAUAUAGCCUCUGUCACAUUGGGCUAUAUUCCAAGGAUGAAGCCUGUGGUGUUCAAAUGUGGAAAUGGAGCUACAGAGAGCUAACUUUUUAAAUCCCUUGGUGCCCUAUCAUUGAUCCCUACACUGGAGAUUAACAUGGCAGGUCCCUGACUUUAGUCAUUUCCAUUUCACCCCUGUUGAGAUUCUGUCUCAUGAGUAACCUGACAGCCAGCUAGGCCCAACACAGUUUCAUGGGCUCACCACAUGUGAUCUUUUUGUCAUCAAGGGCCAGGUGAAAUGAGCAAGUCUGUGUUGUUGGAGAGUGAAAAAGCUGGCCAAAUCAUCUGCACAAUGUCCCUUGCCCAGCAGUUCUGUGUGAAAACCAAAAUCAUGCUUGGAAUUUCCAGAUUUCUCCAGUGCUUGCGGUUCCAACAUUUCCUCGUGGUGGCACAGACCGGCAACCUAGCCAGUCUUGGUGAACUGUCAAGAUCCAAAGUACAGCAGGAGACCUUCCUCGAGGAAAGAGUCUAUUUGUGAUGCUGGGAACACAUGUGGAAGUGACCUGUGCAGUCUCCCGAAUGACAAGCAGAGCUCUACUCUUAGUCUUCGGACUGUGAAAUCACCACAAAGAUGCCCAUGGAGGUGGAGAUGUACUCAGUGUCCAGGUGUAACUCAUUCGGGCUCUGUGAGGGCUGCCACAUGAGGAAGAAAACUCCUCUUUGGCAUCUG